GAAAUGCGAUAAGUAGUGUGAAUUGCAGAAUUCAGUGAAUCAUCGAAUCUUUGAACGCACAUUGCGCCCCUUGGUAUUCCAUGGGGCAUGCCUGUUCGAGCGUCAUUUGUACCCUCAAGCUCUGCUUGGUGUUGGUUGUUUGUCCCGUCUCCGCGCGUGGACUCGCCCCAAAGUGAUUGGCAGCCGGCGUACUGGUCCCGGAGCGCAGCACAUGUCGCGCAAACGAGUGCCUUGGUACGGCGUCGUCCAUAAGCCCCUCUCUCACGCUCUUGACCUCAGAUCAGGUAGGGAUACCCGCUGAACUUAAGC
rnacentral:misc_RNA from 1 species